GAUGAACGCUGGCGGCGUGCCUAAUACAUGCAAGUCGAGCGAACAGAUAAGGAGCUUGCUCCUUUGACGUUAGCGGCGGACGGGUGAGUAACACGUGGGUAACCUACCUAUAAGACUGGAAUAACUCCGGGAAACCGGGGCUAAUGCAGGAUAACAUGUUGAACCGCAUGGUUCUACAGAGAAAGGCGGCUUUGCUGUCACUUAUAGAUGGACCCGCGCCGUAUUAGCUAGUUGGUGAGGUAACGGCUCACCAAGGCAACGAUACGUAGCCGACCUGAGAGGGUGAUCGGCCACACUGGAACUGAGACACGGUCCAGACUCCUACGGGAGGCAGCAGUAGGGAAUCUUCCGCAAUGGGCGAAAGCCUGACGGAGCAACGCCGCGUGAGUGAUGAAGGUCUUCGGAUCGUAAAACUCUGUUAUUAGGGAAGAACAAAUGCGUAAGUAACUGUGCGCGUCUUGACGGUACCUAAUCAGAAAGCCACGGCUAACUACGUG
rnacentral:rRNA from 1 species